GACGAACGCUGGCGGCGUGCUUAACACAUGCAAGUCGAACGGAAAGGCCCUGCUUUUGUGGGGUGCUCGAGGGGCGAACGGGUGAGUAACACGUGAGUAACCUGCCCUUGACUUUGGGAUAACUUCAGGAAACUGGGGCUAAUACCGGAUAGGAGCUCCUGAUGCAUGGUGGGGGUGGGAAAGUUUCGGCGGUUGGGGAUGGACUCGCGGCUUAUCAGCUUGUUGGUGGGGUAGUGGCUUACCAAGGCUUUGACGGGUAGCCGGCCUGAGAGGGUGACCGGCCACAUUGGGACUGAGAUACGGCCCAGACUCCUACGGGAGGCAGCAGUGGGGAAUAUUGCACAAUGGGCGGAAGCCUGAUGCAGCAACGCCGCGUGCGGGAUGACGGCCUUCGGGUUGUAAACCGCUUUCGCCUGUGACGAAGCGUGAGUGACGGUAAUGGGUAAAGAAGCACCGGCUAACUACGUGCCAGCAGCCGCCGUAA
rnacentral:rRNA from 1 species